AUUGAACGCUGGCGGCAGGCCUAACACAUGCAAGUCGAACGAGUGGCGGACGGGUGAGUAAUGUCUGGGAAACUGCCUGAUGGAGGGGGAUAACUACUGGAAACGGUAGCUAAUACCGCAUACCAUCGGAUGUGCCCAGAUGGGAUUAGCUAGUGGGUGGGGUAAAGGCUCACCUAGGCGACGAUCCCUAGCUGGUCUGAGAGGAUGACCGGCAAAACUGGAACUGGAACACGGUCCAGACUCCUACGGGGGGCAGCAGUGGGGAAUAUUGCACAAGGGGCGAAAGCCUGAUGGGGCAAUGCCGCGUGUAUAAAGAAGGCCUUCGGGUUGUAAAGUACUGUCAGCAGGGAGGCGUUACCCACAGAGAAAGCACCGGCUAACUCCGUGCCAGCCGCCGCGGUAAUAC
rnacentral:rRNA from 1 species